rnacentral:tRNA from 10 species
GCGGAUGUAGUUUAAUGGUAGAACAUGAGCUUCCCAAGCUCAGAGCGCGGGUUCGAUUCCCGUCAUCCGCUCCA